rnacentral:lncRNA from 1 species
AGUAUCGAACAGGAUUAUCCAGGCAUCCCCUUGCCGCCUUGUGCGGGGCUUUUUCUGGGCAUUGCUGCUGAGAUGGGAUAUAUAUAAUCUGGUAUGAUAUAAACCGAUGGGACUUGAUGAAGGCUGCAUGCUUUUGUUUAGGAAUGAAAAUGGCAUCAUGGAAGAUGCAGGCUGUGGAGUUAUCCAACAGUAACAAAUCAGGGG